rnacentral:rRNA from 1 species
UAGUCCAUGCCGUAAACGAUGUGUACUAGGUGUCGCGGACAUUGACUGCCGCGGUGCCGUAGCCAACGCGUUAAGUGGACCGCCUGGGGAGUACGGUCGCAAGAUUAAAACUCAAAUGAAUUGACGGGGCCCGCACAAGCGGUGGAGCAUGUGGUUUAAUUCGAUGCAACGCGAAGAACCUUACCUACUCUUGACAUCCAGAGAACUUAGCAGAGAUGCUUUGGUGCCUUCGGGAACUCUGAGACAGGUGCUGCAUGGCUGUCGUCAGCUCGUGUUGUGAAAUGUUGGGUUAAGUCCCGCAACGAGCGCAACCCUUAUCCUUGUUUGCCAGCGAGUAAUGUCGGGAACUCCAGGGAGACUGCCGGUGAUAAACCGGGAGGAAGGUGGGGACGACGUCAAGUCAUCAUGGCCCUUACGAGUAGGGGCUACACACGUGCUACAAUGGCGCAUACAGAGGGCGG